GACGAACGCUGGCGGCGUGCUUAACACAUGCAAGUCGAACGGAAAGGCCCUGCUUGCAGGGUGCUCGAGUGGCGAACGGGUGAGUAACACGUGGGUGAUCUGCCCCUUACUUUGGGAUAAGCCUGGGAAACUGGGUCUAAUACUGGAUAGGACCAUGCUGUAGGUGGUGUGGUGGAAAGAUUAGUUUCGGUAAGGGAUGAGCUCGCGGCCUAUCAGCUUGUUGGUGGGGUAAUGGCCUACCAAGGCGUCGACGGGUAGCCGGCCUGAGAGGGUGGACGGCCACAUUGGGACUGAGAUACGGCCCAGACGCCUACGAGAGGCAGCAGUGGGGAAUAUUGCACAAUGGGCGCAAGCCUGAUGCAGCGACGCCGCGUGGGGGAUGACGGCCUUCGGGUUGGAAACUCCUUUCAGCCAUGACGAAGCCCUUGUGGUGACGGUAGUGGUAGAAGAAGCACCGGCUAACUACGUG
rnacentral:rRNA from 1 species